ACACCAGUGUCUGCCGAGUUUCACUAUGUCUACUCAGCUGGCCUUAUUCCUAACUCCAUUAUCUUGGCACAGCCACUAUCUUUGUCAUUCAGCUCUCAGCCUCAAUGUAUUCCCUAACUACCCUAUAUGAAGUAGCUUCUGGGUCACUGUCACUGUCACACCCUAUAUUGCAUUUAUCUGAUAUUUCUGGGAUCUUGCUUUCUCAACUUUAUUCCCUGUCCACAAUACUGAACAAUAUUUCUGUGGAGAAUAAUAAGACCAAAGACCAGAGGUAGAUUGACUUUGUAUGGAGACAGAAAGGCUAAAAAACAGUAAGAGAAAAUGACCCGACUAGAGAGGAACAUCCUUGUUGAAAGAUAGUAAGAGACAAGUUAGUAAAAUCUUAACAUCAGACUCAGAACGUGGAUCAAAUCUGAUAAGUUAUAGAAGCCUCUUCCUAAACCUGGGGAAUUAGUGAAUAAGCAUGAUAUAAUCUGUAGGAUGCUUUGUUUGGAAAUAGUUUGAAAGAUACAACAGAGAUAGGAAGACUGUAGAAUAGACUUUUCAAAAUCUAGACCACAGAUUAUAUUUAAGUGCCCUACAGGAGGAAAAAUGAUGGAAGUACUAAAGUGGGAUCUAUAUUUGCGGGACUCAAGAGAACUUGCCAGAAUUUUAUGACGUACAGAAAAGAGUCAAAAUGACUAAGUUUUCAAUCUGGCAGGCAGAGAGAAUAAUGCCACCAUUGGUAGAACAUAGGAAACUCGUGCAUUAGUAUGAAAAGGUCUUCUCAUUUUAAAAACUUAUAAGGUAAUAGAUUUUCAUCUUUUGGAAAACAGUGCGAAGGCAUAUGUAAAGGUGAAGUGUGAGACUAAGCUAGAAAAAUUAUGUGCUUCCAAAACCAUGGAAGGUGCUGCACUAUAAUAAAUAGCAAAGAUAUGGCCACUGUAUUCUAGAGCAUGAGGGUGCAAAGACAAAUUAGUCUCAUUUCUUAUUGUCAAAAUCUAUAUUAAAGGCAUGUUACUCCUGUUUAUUUUGUAGUGAACACAUUCCAUAUGUCUCAGUAAAUAGUUCUUUGUGCAAUAGAUCCUUGAAAUUGGCUUCCUCCCAGCCAUGAAACAGAUAUGGCAUUGGAGCAAUGCUAGAAAGCAAGAAAGGAAUGCCAGAGAUCUAAUUUGAGGAAAGAUCUGAAUGCACAUGUCUCUGGUAAACAUCUUAGAAAGUUGUUCAGUUUUCCAUGGUUCGGAUUUUAUUUAUAAUUCUUAGUCUUUAGAAUAUAGAAUCCAUACUUAGCAGAUUUUUUUUAAUGUAAAGAUGAGCUGAGGCCAGUAUAUGCUACUCAUGAGAAGAAUUCUUUAAACGUGGCACUACUUUUGGCACAUGUUAGCCUCUGCCUUUGUGUUAUGGGAAACCUAACGUUUAGAAUACCUCGUGAGUUGAAUACCCAAAAGUAAACUAUCCCUUCCCACCAUGAAGCAUAGAUCUUUAAUAUAUACUUACAGAAUUUUCAACAUAAAACCCCAAAUUCUUCUUGUCAGUUUUCAGUUAACCACUGUCAUAUGAGAAAAGAAGUCAAAGGAGAGAGGCCCGCUGGUAGAAGUGAGUACUAGAACAUGCCUACAACUACACUCGGGAGACUGCUUGCUUCCCUACAACCAUUUUGGAAGCUCUGAUUUUUUUAUUUGAGUUCAGUGCAAAGUUAAAGGGACUGUAUUAGAAGAUUCUUUGUGAAUUGUUCUGCAGACUGGGCCUUUCUGUUUUCUCCGCACUUGAACAAGAAGUCAUGUUGACCCCAAUUUUUUAAAAGAGCAGAAAAAAUGAAACUACUCAUCGAAAACUUAUGCCACAAAAUUUGGGUCACACAUUAGUUAAGUGGGAGGUACAAUACCAAUUACUUCAUUGUUCCUGUCAAGGAAGCCAUGAGUCUAUCCUGAGCGAAGUAAGGCAGCAUUCUUGACAGGAACAAUUCCCUCACCAUUACCCCCGCCCCCGCAAAAAAAAUGUCUGGUGAGAUCAAAACAUUAAGGAAGAGAACAUAUUUAAACAUAAAAGAGGACCAGAAUGUUCCUCAUAGAUGACUGUUCUAGGCCAUCUUCCUUGUAGGAAUUCUAGGUCAGGAAACUGAUACCUGAUGAGGAAAACAGUUUGAACUUUCUAAAGCAUGCUAAUAAUUAGUAUUGAACAAAUCCCAAUUCAAAUAUUAAAAUAAGGAUCUUGAAGUUCCUUAUGCUUUCAGCCAAAAAGUAGUUGUGUACAACUUUGUAUCUGCAUAAGAUAAUCACGUUUCAGUGUCAACUACCAGAACUAUGAUAAGCUUGAACCCGCAAUAAGAAGGGAGUAAACUGACUUCUCUCAAAGACGCUUAGAUUCUCUCAGGUCUCAGCGCACUAAUUAGCAUACUACCAGUGCCUUCUUUUGCUUGGUCCCCUCAGUGCCCAAGCUGUUUAGGGACUGUCCAAUUCAGAGGAAGAGGAAAGAAGACAUCCCUACCAGGAGGAUCAGAGCAUUGGAUAUAAACAUUGACUCAAAUACUCCAAAAGACAAGAGCUUUUCUGUGUCCUUGACUUGUAUGAGAUGGCUAACUUUAGAAAUAUGAAGACCCUCUCUCUUCAUCUUAAUACUGUAAUACUGCUAUCAUUUUUAUUGCUUUCUCCCACAUGGAUAAAGAUCUAGUCAUGCAUUAAAAGAAAAAAAAGUUUCCUUUCUGAAAAGAGAUAUAUUUUCCUGGUUUUUCUACGUGUCAGGAACAACUGAACUCAGAAGGAAUAAUUUAGAUUUAUUUACAGUCUGAAUUCAUACAAGACUAAAUUGUGACAUUUUGUUUCAAUCAAGUUUGGCCUUACAAUUAUGCCACUUUGUCCUGAAGGUGUGUUUUUAUUUUUGUAGAUAUAUGAUAUACAGACCCUUCGUUAGUGAUAGAUAAUUAUUAAGUUUAUACAUGUUAAUCAUUUAGCAAACGGCUAAUAACCGAUUGCAUUUAAUGAAUGAAUCCUUUUUUAAAAACUUCAAAAUUCAACUCUCUUUAAAUUUGCUGUAUUAUUAUUUACUUUAUUCAUCAGGGUGAUUGUGCUGUGAUUACCUGGAAAUAAAUAGCCCCUAACUAACUUUGC
rnacentral:lncRNA from 10 species